AGGGAUGUAGUUUAGUGGUAGACUCCUUGCCUAUCAGGCAGGGGUCUCUGGGUUCAAUUCCCAGCAUCAUAA
rnacentral:tRNA from 1 species